rnacentral:rRNA from 1 species
UACAGGGGGGGGCAAGCGUUGUCCGGAUUUAUUGGGCGUAAAGAGCGUGUAGGCGGCCAGACAGGUCAGCUGUGAAAACUCGAGGCUCAACCUCGAGACGUCGGUUGAAACCGUCUGGCUAGAGUCCGGAAGAGGAGAGUGGAAUUCCCGGUGUAGCGGUGAAAUGCGCAGAUAUCGGGAAGAACACCCGUGGCGAAGGCGGCUCUCUGGGACGGUACUGACGCUGAGACGCGAAAGCGUGGGGGAGCGAACAGG